rnacentral:pre_miRNA from 1 species
UCCCCAUGACAUUUAGUGUUGAUGUGUCUGUUUUUUUAUCAAUUAAUGUGAGUCACGUGUGUAAUUCCAUUUUUAAAAAAAUAAAAAAAUGGUAUUUUUCAGAUUUUCAGCACUAAAUUCUAUUGUUGGUCACGUGCCUCCUUCUCUCAAAAUCUGAAAAAUACCAUUUUUUUUAUUUUUUUAAAAAAUGAAAUUACACACGUGGCACACAUUAAUUGAUAAAAAACAGACACAUCAACACUAAAUGUCAUGGGGA